GGAUGAACGCUGGCGGCGUGCCUAAUACAUGCAAGUCGAGCGAACAGAUAAGGAGCUUGCUCCUUUGAAGUUCGCGGCGGACGGGUGAGUAACACGUGGGUAACCUACCUAUAAGACUGGGAUAACUUCGGGAAACCGGAGCUAAUACCGGAUAACAUUUAGAACCGCAUGGUUCUAAAGUGAAAGAUGGUUUUGCUAUCACUUAUAGAUGGACCCGCGCCGUAUUAGCUAGUUGGUAAGGUAACGGCUUACCAAGGCGACGAUACGUAGCCGACCUGAGAGGGUGAUCGGCCACACUGGAACUGAGACACGGUCCAGACUCCUACGGGAGGCAGCAGUAGGGAAUCUUCCGCAAUGGGCGAAAGCCUGACGGAGCAACGCCGCAUGAGUGAUGAAGGGUUUCGGCUCGUAAAACUCUGUUAUUAGGGAAGAACAAAUGUGUAAGUAACUGUGCACAUCUUGACGGUACCUAAUCAGAAAGCCACGGCUAACUACGUG
rnacentral:rRNA from 1 species